GACGAACGCUGGCGGCGUGCCUAAUACAUGCAAGUCGAGCGGACUUUCAAGAAGCUUGCUUUUUGAAAGUUAGCGGCGGACGGGUGAGUAACACGUGGGCAACCUGCCUGUAAGACGGGGAUAACUCCGGGAAACCGGGGCUAAUACCGGAUAAUAUCUUUCUUCGCAUGAAGGAAGGUUGAAAGGCGGCGCAAGCUGCCGCUUGCAGAUGGGCCCGCGGCGCAUUAGCUAGUUGGUGAGGUAACGGCUCACCAAGGCGACGAUGCGUAGCCGACCGGAGAGGGUGAUCGGCCACACUGGGACUGAGACACGGCCCAGACUCCUACGGGAGGCAGCAGUAGGGAAUCUUCCGCAAUGGACGAAAGUCUGACGGAGCAACGCCGCGUGAGCGAGGAAGGUCUUCGGAUCGUAAAGCUCUGUUGUCAGGGAAGAACAAGUACCGUUCGAAUAGGGCGGUACCUUGACGGUACCUGACCAGGAAGCCACGGCUAACUACGUGCCAGCCGCCGCGGUAA
rnacentral:rRNA from 1 species